rnacentral:rRNA from 1 species
GACGAACCGUGCGAACGUUGUUCGGAAUCACUGGGCUUAAAGGGCGCGUAGGCGGGUCGGCAAGUCCGGGGUGAAAUCCUCCAGCUCAACUGGAGAAGUGCCUUGGAUACUGCCGGUCUCGAGGGAGGCAGGGGUCUGUGGAACUUCUGGUGGAGCGGUGAAAUGCGUUGAUAUCAGAAGGAACGCCGGUGGCGAAAGCGACGGACUGGUCCUCUUCUGACGCUGAGGCGCGAAAGCUAGGGGAGCAAACGGG